rnacentral:lncRNA from 1 species
CACCGAUAGCCUCCCCACCAACGCCACGCCGCCACACCACGUCGGAGGGGUUGGCGAUGUCGCUGCACGUGACAACGGUCCCAUCGUCCUCGUACACCUCUACCUGGCCGUUGAUGCAGUUGCGGAUGAUUUCUGAACCAAGGACCUGGUGAUACGAAGAGUAUUCGUUGACAAGAAUUUUUUUCAGCCCUCCACAACUAGUCACCCUUCGCAGCUGUAUUCAUUCAUCUGUCCUUGCGUUUGAGAGACCCGUGGUAAAAGUUCUCGAACAUUCAAACCUCCAGUACCUAGCGACCUGGAAUUGUUCCAAGUCUGCACCCGACAGGCUUUACAAAUGGGGGAUUGUGAUUCAAGUGCCUCCGGUCGAGUUUGCAGAAGAGUGCACACGGUUGUUUGUACAGCAGACGUCAACUUAGCACUGGACAGGCAAAGGAGAGAAGGAAGGAAUGAAUGUGUGUAGCUUAUCUCUUUAUCUGUCGAACUUAUUUAUUCUAGAUAGUUUUCUGAAGCACUUUAGAGAGUGAAAUUGAAUUUUCCAGGGUGAGUAUUCAAAUGGAACGAUAUUUAUUAGAAUCAUUUUUGUUAUGCACGUUAGCUUAUAUAUGAAAAUAUUAGUUUUAAUGUUACGUAUAUAUACUCCUGUAAAUUAUUUUUAUCCAACAUUUAUUACAAAAGAUUUUGUUGUAGCAUUCAGUUUAAAGUGAUAAUGAAAAUUAACGGACAAUUUCAAGGUGCAUACACAUGUGUUUCUGGCUUACGAGUACGUGUCCUAACAUUUUUGUGCAUGUUUUCAACCGUUUGUAUUUUAAGGAAGUCUCCUAGAUCGUCUUUGAAAAAAAAAUGUUUUAAAUUUUACGAUGAUCUGAUUCUGGCCGCCAUAACCUAGCUGGAACACUGAAUAACCUAUGAACUCUUCCUGAGGGGCAGGCGUGCACACGAGGGCAACGGUACAAACAGAAGAUCUGUUAUUGUCGUGGACCACCAGAGCUUGUGACAGUGUUGGCGGCCAUACCCACAAUGGCCACCAUGGGAAGUUGUGCAAUGGAAGUCAGCAAUUCUAUGGCUAUAAAUAGAAUGACUUAAUAUUAUGUCAGCAUUUCAUAUUUAAAUAUUUAAAAAAAUUAAUCAUGACUUAUUUCUAGUCUGACAUAGCUUCAUCUGUGCACGUGUACGUCUUAAAGUCAACACGUUUGUUCGCUCACGCGUUUUUGAGUUCGUUCGUCUGUUUGUUGUCUGUUAUUGUGUCGAUGAUUCCGUCCAUGAACUGUUUUUGCGUUAGUAGGUCUGUCUGUAAGGAUGUCUGUCUGUGACUUAAUUAAUUUCAGUAGACCUGUAGACGACUUUGUCUUCUCUUGAGUUUGUCCAUGCUUUCCUUGUUGCGUCACUGCGUCUUUGUGGUGUCUUUUGUCAGGAGAUACGUUCGUCCGUGUUUCAAAGUCACUACGUCCAAACAUGAGUACGUCUUCGUGUAAAUACGUUUGGUUAUAAGCACGAAAGUACGUUUGUUAUCGAGUGCGCUUCUUUCUCUUUUAGUACGUCUUUACGUCACUGCGUUUGUCAACAAGUACGUCUGUACGUCAGAGUGUUUGUCAACGAGUACGUCUGUACGUCAGAGCGUUUGUCAACGAGUACGUCUUUACGUCAGAGCGUUUGUCAACGAGUACGUCUUUACGUCAAAGCGUUUGUCAACGAGUACGUCUUUACGUCAGAGCGUUUGUCAACGAGUACGUCUGUAUGUCAAAGCGUUUGUCAACGAGUACGUCUUUACGUCAAAGCGUUUGUCAGCUGGUACACCCUAACGUAAGAUCAUUUGUCAAUAAGUGUUUUAUCGUUUCAGCACGUCUGUCUUUGAGUAUGUCCGCACAUCAUGUCUUUGCCUUUUCACGUAAAAAUGCGACCUCUCAACAAGUCUCGUAAACGUUAGUUCGUCUGUACGUAUGUCAGUAAUUCUUUGUUCAUGCACGACUUCUGUUUGUUACCUUGACACUAUCGUCUGUUUGUGCAGUACUUUGACAUCACGUGACUACGUUUGUCUAUGACUUUGUUUUGGUAUCAGUGCCUUUUGCAAUGAGUUCGUCUUAGCUUCUGUGUGUCUGUACGUCCUUUGGUAAUUAUGUUUGUACAAGUUCUCGUCAAGCCUCUCUGUACAAGGCACACAGAUGGUUGGUAAAAAUAAUCCUUCUAGCUGCAGAACGACGGAAGGAAAGAGUUGCUUCUAGGAAGUUCCAAACCUAAUCAUAUCUUCACAUUCUCCUCAGAACAAGUUGCUAUCAUUGGGGGAAUUGUCGGUGGUGUUGCUGUCAUUGGUAUCGUCGGCAUAGUUGUAACCGUCGUUAUGCUCAAACCUUCGAAAGUAGGUGCCAUGCCCGUUACAUCAAGUUCGACAUAGGGACUGGGUGAUGCUGAGAACACAGCAACGACACAACAGACGAUGAAAUGAGAAAAGUUUGAUUUCUUCACACAGUCUGUCUUCUGAAAGAUUUUUGAUA